rnacentral:rRNA from 1 species
UACGAAGGUGGCAAGCGUUGUCCGGAAUCAUUGGGCGUAAAGCGCGCGUAGGCGGCCCGGUAAGUCCGCUCUGAAAGUCCAGGGCUUAACCCUGGAAAGCGGGUGGAUACUGCCGGGCUUGAAUCCGGAAGAGGCGAGUGGAAUUCCUGGUGUAGCGGUGGAAUGCGCAGAUAUCAGGAGGAACACCAAUAGCGAAGGCAGCUCGCUGGGACGGUAUUGACGCUAAGGCGCGAAAGCGUGGGGAGCAAACAGG